GAAUACUCUGCCUCUAGACUGUCUGUUUUUGAAAAGGUGACUGCUGAUGACAGCUAAGAUAACAAGAGGGUGGUAUUUUUUUUUUCUUCAUGAGCACGCCUCCGGUUCUAUUAAUAAAAUCCUGAAUUUGACUAGUCCUUCUGAGAACUCCCGGCCUCUCUCACCCAUUCAAAACUGUAUUUUUAAGCUGUUGUAGGUGGAUUGUCGACAAUGGUUGUUAUGCAAACUCUGAGCACUGGCUUCAGGAGCUUCUUGGAAACCUGCAAUGAGUAAUCUUCGUAUUUCUGCCAGGUCUACAUAGAGGGAGGGUGCAGUUUUGCCACAGGCAUAGCAUGCAGACGCAUCUCCUGAGCCCCCUUUACUCCAGCAGCAGGAAGUCAGCAACGCUUCCCUCCUCUCUCUGUACAGGGAGGGCUGUUCAGAUUUUUCUCCUCUUCUCCCCUUCCAUAUGGGGAAGAAUAAAGUGAAGAAACAACAUUUUCAGAGAAGAAAGACUUGGAAAGAGUUUCUGUUUUCUGGGAGUCUGCUACAGCUGUUAAUUUGUGGAAAACCUCAGUGGAAAGUAAGCAAUAUGGCAGCAUCGCUUUACACGAGAAUUCAGUGAUGGCCAUGCUCCAAGCCGUGGCUGAUUUAGGUUCUUGGCUUGCAUAGCCAAAGCUUCAUGUAGUGUCAUGCUUUUUUAUAGAUAAUGUUGAUGCAGCUGUGGAAGGCUCUGAUGUUCAUUUUUUUUAACAUGGAAUUGUCGUCAUUCAAUCAAGCUUAAGUAUUGUGGAGCUGCGAUGUUGUUUGUCUUUGGUUGUUAGAUGUUGGCGGGUGAGUCCGAGACAGGCUGAGAUGUUGUUUGGGAAAAAGAAAAGACUCCCGCCCUUCCUCCUCGCCUUCUCCACAGAAAUGCACACAGUCCAUAACUUCCAUCCAAAAAUGCAGGAAUGCUGAGGAAAAUUGGAGCUGGACUCAAACAUUGUGGGCUGGCCCCCCCCGCCUGUCCAAAGCAUGCACGCUCUUCUCUUCCUGUAGACUUUGUUCCUCUCCAGCAUUUGUCAUGCAUAGUUGGUGGCAUAUCAAGAUUUUGAAUACUGUACUGAAUGCAACAGCCUCUUUUUUUCUUGGAUGGACAUUUUGUUUGUGGGGAAUACAGCAUGGUGCUCAGCUGUCUGGGCAGAAAUGAACAUUGAAUGAAAUGAAAUUUUCAGCUAUGUGACAGCUAUUAGAUCAGAGAUUAGUUUUCCAGUAGAAAUGUCCAAUUAUUUAAACCGCUCCAGUAGAUGAAAGAGCUUUUGACAAUCUGUUUUGCUGAAAAGCCCUGCAAUUCGUUUGGCAUAGAUUAGAUGACCUAUUAGAGAUGAGAAAAAGGGAAAAGGAUUUAUAAUUAAUGUCAGCCCAGCUGUUAACUUGGGGAGUAUCGCUGAGUUGUAGCACAAGACAUAUCCUUCAGCUAUUUCUACAUUGACGAUUCAUGUGUAUAUUGCAGCGUGUGUCAGCAGCCUUCCGUGCAGCUGUGCUUUGUUGCAGGGACUAGAGUUCCCCAUUCCUAGGUAGUGCAUUAGCAUGCACUGCUGCUUCUCCAAGGCUCUGCCUCCUUUUCAAAGGCAGGCUUUUAUGAAUGGGUAAGCCCCAUGUUUUUCCAGUGCUACCUUGUCACACAAUGACUGAUCCACUCACCUCCUUAUCUCUGGGCCAUAUGACUUACUUUGAGUGUACCUUCCUUGCCAACUUAACUAGGUAUCGUGUUUCUUUCCCUGAAGGUGACUUAGGGCAGAAUCCUUGAAUCCUCCAGGGUUUUCUGGAGCAUCUGGAAAGAAGAGGAAAACCAGAGAUUGGCCAGAAAGAGGCAGGCAGAGAAAGAUGAAAGAAUUUGGGGGUGGGAAGCACUUGCUUUUGGAAUGAUCUUCCUCCUGGCUGGCCUAAGGCAAAGUAAUUUACACUUUUCAGCAACAUGCAGAAUGGCCCAGCCCAUGCUCUUAUGAGUAAACAUUUCAAAGGUGCCUGCAGGGCCCCCUAUUUAUGUUUUUAUAAGCUACUUAGUCUCCCUUUGAGUCUCAGGAUAUAUCCCUACUGCCAAUAGUGGAGUUAGCUCAAAGUGCAGUAGUGUCUUUUGGAGACACCUGAGCUAGACUGAAGCAGCUCAUCUGCUAGAAGUAGUUUACUCACAGCAGUGCAUGUGUCAAAGCACUGUACCUGCCUGCUGCGUUAUCUUGUCCUGUGCCAACUCUUGUUUCAAAUAAAGGCUUUCACUGCAACUCCACCUUCUCUGCAGCCCGCUGAGCCCACUGAAGCUCAAGGACAUAGCACAGUCACGGCAGGGUAUGGGGUUCAGGAGCUGGAGCCACUUUGGUACUUUUGAAAACUUUUUAUACAGCUGAGCCCACAUUCCCUGUUAGCACUGUUAAAUGCUUUCCUGUUUUCCUCUUCCCCUUGAACUCACACUGCUGUUCUAACCGAGUAUCGUGUUUUGUUUCUAAUGACAGAGCAAAGGUGCCAAAAUAUUUCAGCAGCUCCCCUAGGAACAUCUGCAACUUCUUUAGCUAUUUUCACAGCUGGCCAUAACUUUAUGUUAUUUUUGAAUGCUUGUAGUACCAAAUCUGGGAUCCUGGAGGAGAACAAUGGCUAAUUUCCUUGUAUCGGAAUUUAGAAUUUGCAAAAAGAUGCACUAGCAACUUUGAGUAAAUGCUGAGGAGCAGAGCUAUGAGGGAUUUCGUCAUUUGAAAGGCAGAGUUGCUAAAUUCCAAACAGAGCUUAGACUGGUCUUCUGACACAGGGUAAAGCUGGGGUUUGGUAAGGUCAAAACUUACAGAAAUUUCAACUGAUAGAGCAACAGCUGCUGGAAUUCAUGCUGCCCAUGUAGCCUCCAGUGUGGCUGCUGUCAUCUUUGAUGGAAAUAGGAAGAGUAAAUUCUUACAGCUCUAAUGUGAGACUGAGUUCUUGGGACCGGAAUUAAGCCUGGAAGUUUGAACUUCCACCCAGUAAAAUUCCUGUGGACCUUUAAUUGCAGCUCUGAUUUAUUACCUGCUAGUUGUGCUUAGCUGGUCUAAAAGUGAAAACAAACUCAAGGUAUUUGAUCAUUAUAUUGAUCUAUCGCUCAUAAUCUGUGCUGCACCUCUUCACUCCUAUACUGGUCUAGCAAAACGUGUAAAAAAUAUGCUGGAAAGAUUCCAGCUUAUUUAACCACUAAGAAAUGUAUUAGAAGCAAAGAAGUCUGAGGCUUAUCUCAGUCACAACAACUGCACCCUGACCCCCAGUGAGUAAUAGGCUGUGCCGUUUCUUGAGGAGGCAGAUCUGCAGCUGUGAUAUGAACAUGUUUGAGAGUAGUGCUUGCAGGCUGAGGAACAGAGAAUAGAAUCAUUAAAGUUGGAAAAGAUCUCUAAGAUCACCUAGUCAAACCAUCAACCCAUCCCCACCAUGCCCACUAACCAUGUCGCUCAGUGCCAC